rfam:Gossypium raimondii Chr03_contig_224, whole genome shotgun sequence.
CACGUCAGCGCGCUCUGCUGACGUGGACUCAAAUCGCGCUUACAUGGACGCGAUUUGCUGCCACGUCAGCAAAGUGCGCUGACGUGG